UUGAAUUUUAAUGAAGAGUUUGGUUGUAGCUGGCCCAUUCAUUUGGGCAUGUGCACACCUUCCUCUUUCAUCCCACACACACCUGUGAACCUGUGAGACAGAGAUGGGGAAUUUACUUGCUGCUUUUUGGAAUACAAAGGCAAUAGGUUAUUGGACCCCCCCUCUGUCUACUCAAUUAAUAUAAACUCAAUUUAUUUUAAAUCGAAUGUAAUGGAUGUAACACAUCUCAUAC
rnacentral:misc_RNA from 1 species